rnacentral:rRNA from 2 species
AAAUGACUCUCGGCAACGGAUAUCCCGGCUCUCGCAUCGAUGAAGAACGUAGCGAAAUGCGAUACUUGGUGUGAAUUGCAGAAUCCCGUGAACCAUUGAGUCUUUGAACGCAAGUUGCGCCCGAAGCCACCAGGCUGAGGGCACGUCUGCCUGGGUGUCACGC